UGGGAUAUGGACAAUGGACGCAAGCCUGAUCCAGCAAUGCCGCGUGGAUGAAGAAGGUUUUCGGAUUGUAAAGUCCUUUCGGCGGGGACGAUGAUGACGGUACCCGCAGAAGAAGCCCCCGGCUAACUUCGUGCCAGCAGCCGCGGUAAUACGAAGGGGGCUAGCGUUGCUCGGAAUGACUGGGCGUAAAGGGCGCGUAGGCGGACAGCUUUGUCAGGCGUGAAAUUCCAGGGCUCAACCUUGGGGCUGCGUUUGA
rnacentral:rRNA from 1 species